UACGAAGGGGGCUAGCGUUGCUCGGAAUCACUGGGCGUAAAGGGUGCGUAGGCGGGUCUUUAAGUCAGGGGUGAAAUCCCGCAGCUCAACUGCGGAACUGCCUUUGAUACUGGGUAUCUUGAGUAUGGAAGAGGUAAGUGGAAUUCCGAGUGUAGAGGUGAAAUUCGUAGAUAUUCGGAGGAACACCAGUGGCGAAGGCGGCUUACUGGUCCAUUACUGACGCUGAGGUGCGAAAGCGUGGGGAGCAAACAGG
rnacentral:rRNA from 1 species